rnacentral:rRNA from 1 species
UAGUGAUAACACAUUUGUGGAGUGAUGAGUGCUGGAUAAAUGCUAGCGGCGGACGGGUGCGUAACACGUGGGUAACCUGCCCCUAUCACUGGGAUAACACACUGAAAAGUGUGCUAAUAUCAAGAUAACAUAAGCUUUUGGCAUCAUUAGCUUAUCAAAGAAUUUCGGAUAGGGAUGGGCCCGCGUCUGAUUAGCUUGUUGGUGAGGUAACGGGCUCACCAAGGCAACGAUCAGUAGCCGACCUGAGAGGGUGAUCGGCCACACUGGAACUGAGACACGGUCCAGACUCCUACGGGAGGCAGCAGUGGGGAAUAUUGCACAAUGGGCGAAAGCCUGAUGCAAGCAACGCCGCGUGAGCGAUGAAGGCCUUCGGGUACGUAAAGCUCUGUCCUAUGGGAAGAUAAUGACGGUACCAUAGGAGGAAGCCCCGGCUAACUACGUGCCAGCAGCCGC